rnacentral:lncRNA from 1 species
AGGCACGUGUAAAGGCACGUGUAGAAAAUUGCGAUAUUUGUAAUAUACUAAGCGCAAUAUUUGUAAUAUACGAUAGUUUUUAAAUAUAAUUUUUAAUAUCACGAUAUUCAGUCUAUUAUAUUCACCUCAAGUAACAUUUAUUCACUAUAAUUCUAUAAUACAGUUCAUCUAUAAUAUAAUUUUUUUAAUUAAAGUAUUCGCACUUGGUUAUUAAUUACUUGACAUAUAAAUACUUUUGAUUUAUCCCAACACUAAUAAUAUAUAAUAAUGUAUAACCAUGUGGUGUUCAACGUGUCGCCAACGUUAAUAAUUUUUUUUAAGGUUAAAAUGCUCACCCAUCGGUUACAUAAGCGCCCCCAAUUUGUCGGAACUAACAACAAUUGAUAAUAUCGAUAAUAUCCUGCAUCAAUAUUAUCGGUUAAAAAAGUAUGAAGACGCUUUUUAUUAGCGCCACAAAUGCGUAACGAUUUUAUUUGAAUGUUCUCCAUGUUAUUGUUUUAGAACAUUUAUAACAGCUUAUUGGGUUAUAGCACAAUGAGUUACUGCAAGUAACUUUGAAGUGCAACAUCCAACUUUGAAUGCUACAUCCAAGGAUCGAUAAUAAAACAGCAUCUUUGCCAUCUUAUAUACAUAAAUGUUAAACUUAUUGAUUUUUGCAUUGAUUAUAUCUUGCCAAUUAAUAUUAUGAGACCACAUGGAUACCACCGCAGAAAUCCUAUUAUUCCAAUUCUCACAAGAAAAAUGUGUUGCUUCAAAUGAUAUAUAUCAAUACUAAUGUGUGUGACCAACACAGAGUUCAAACAAAUAAAUCAACUAGCUUUACUAAGAAGAGCCAUCUGUUUAUGUUCUAUGGGUCGCAGACUUGGCAUUGUUCUGAUGUUGCGCUUGUAAGAAAGACGUAAGAGACUCACAAAUGAGCUGAUCUCAAUUUGGCAAUUGAGACAACAAAGUGGAGAAAAAAAUCUGACUUGAUUUUGUUAACCUUUCUCUGUGAAAGAAGGAAUUAAACAGUAUUAUACAAUAUGAAACAAAUACUGUGGAUCAUCUGUUUAAUUUUAAUCUUUGACAACGCAGCCAUAUCGUUCUCCAAUAAGUUCAUCAAUGUAAUUCCGAGACAAGAAAACAAAGACCAUGUACUUCCUCCAUAUCCUAUACUUAUAGGCAGAGGUUUAGGGAAUCUUAUAAAAAAUGAAGAGGUAAAGCAAAGUCUAUUGCAGCCAAUUAAAGACAAAAGAAAUAUUGAGGCAUUAAAUGACAAUCAAAAGAGAGAUAAUAACAUUACAAAGUUUAAUAUGUUACAAUCACAAGUACAAACCAAGUCUGAUCUGGUUGAAUGUUCAAUGCAAGCAAAAACAUUAUACUCCUUAGAAAAGACAUGGUGGAUUAAAGUGCUGAUUUUUAUGCAUAAUCUAGCAGUGCAUACCUAUGGAUAUCUUUGUGGAUAUUUACAAUCACUGAGUUCUGAGACAUUAUCUGCUGAUUACCAGUAAGUCGAAUUGUUUUAAGUCUUCUGAUUUUUUGCUAUAAUUAUAUAAAUUGUAAUACCAGAAGAGAGAAAUUAUAAAGAAAUUACAAAGAA